rnacentral:rRNA from 1 species
GACGAACGCUGGCGGCGUGCCUAAUACAUGCAAGUAGAACGCACAGUUUAUACCGUAGCUUGCUACACCAUAGACUGUGAGUUGCGAACGGGUGAGUAACGCGUAGGUAACCUGCCUGGUAGCGGGGGAUAACUAUUGGAAACGAUAGCUAAUACCGCAUAAUAUUAAUUAUUGCAUGAUAAUUAAUUGAAAGGUGCAAUUGCACCACUACCAGAUGGACCUGCGUUGUAUUAGCUAGUAGGUGAGGUAACGGCUCACCUAGGCGACGAUACAUAGCCGACCUGAGAGGGUGAUCGGCCACACUGGGACUGAGACACGGUCCAGACUCCUACGGGAGGCAGCAGUAGGGAAUCUUCGGCAAUAGACGAAAGUCUGACCGAGCAACGCCGCGUGAGUGAAGAAGGUUUUCGGAUCGUAAAGCUCUGUUGUAAGAGAAGAACGGGUGUGAGAGUGGAAAGUUCACACUGUGACGGUAUCUUACCAGAAAGGGACGGCUAACUACGUG